rfam:Triticum aestivum genome assembly, contig: Triticum_aestivum_CS42_TGACv1_scaffold_621379_7DS
ACGACCUUACUUGAACAGGAUCUGUUCUAUAGGCUCGUAUCACUGUAUCCUUUACCAAUAAGGAGGCAAGCACUUAAGUCUGGUUGACGCAUUCAAUGGCUGUAGAGGAUCGUUCCUUGGGGUGACCUAGAGGUUGUCUGACAGACU